rnacentral:lncRNA from 1 species
UGUUAUAAUGCAAAGCCUAUCAAACUUAAAAUUAGCUUAAUCCUGAAAGAUGUAUAUUGCAUAAUCAACCUGUCACUUUUUUCAAACACGAUUUGGGAGGGUAUUGAGGUCCCAUGUAAAUUUUAAAAUAAAAGACAAACAGGAACUAAUCUUUUAGUAAAAAUUAUUUUGUUUUCAUAUAGGAAAACAAUGCCUUCUGUCAUUUACGGAAAACACAUGGGCAAUAUGGUUGGUUGUUCAUUGUGCCCCUCUAUCCUAUAGGAAGAAUGUGAUCUUUUAAUUGUGCUUGGUGCUUUGUUUCUGGAGAUAUAUAUAUAUAUAUUAUAUAUAUGUAUAUAUACCAUAUGUAUAUAUACAUAUGUAUGUGUGUAUGUGUGUAUAUAUAUCUCUCUAGGUUGUAUGUAAUUCAAUAUGUUGGAAUUUAAAGAUGCAUUAUUAUUUGGAUUUGAUGUGAAAUUAGAUUGUGAAUAAUGGAGAUUGCUCUCCAUUUUUUGCUGUUCUAGCAUAGCCAAAAAUAUAAAGAUAUAGAUGUACAUAUACAUAUGUAUUUGAUUAAACACUUUAAAUUUUAAAUGGCCGCAUCAAAUUUUAAAUGGUAGAUGAUAUCAACAAUUGCAGUGCACUCAAAAUGUUAUAAAAUCUUUGUAGCACAAAUCCUGAAGUAUAUGCAAACUAAAUAGCAUAUUUAUAUAAAAUACCUAGAUAACAUGUCUAGGUUGAGAUAUUUAAUCCCUCAUAGAGCUAUAUUUGACUAAUAAAAAACGACAGCUAAAAAUAAUUUCCCUCCCUAUAAGUACAAAUAUGAUUUUUAAAGCAUCAUUGUAACUUGUCAUGAAGCUAUUUAUUAUUAAUUAAGGAUUUAACUCUGUACCCAUCUGCUCUUACAAAAGGGGAAAAAGAUUUAUCUAUGAGAAUAGGGAAGUAUAGCACUGUUUUAUGUUUUUCUCUUUAGUAUUCUGUCACCAUUUAAAGCUUCAAUAUAUGCCUUCCACUCAGGUUCCUGACACAGCCUACAUUCUCUUUUCUGGUUAUAAUCACAAUAUGGUAGAGCUAUAAACAAGGUAAAAAGGUGUUAACAAUUGAACUGCAAUCCUACCUAUUAUCUACUUUACUAUAGCAGUGAAGUAGUCCAGACUUAUUUGAAGGUGGUACUAUUUUUAUCUUACAAAAAUCUACUAUAAUAUUAAUAACUUUCCAUGUAAAUUUUCAUGUGCUGGCAUGCUUACAAGUUAAUAGUGUUAUAGAAUGCUCAGCUCUCAAUAUGAGGGGUUGUUUGUGGUGAAUUGCAUAACAUAUGUCAUCUAUUUGCUGAAAGAAUAUGCUGUUUAGCAAACUACCUGCUGAGCAACAUAAUAAGAUUUUUGUACAAGGUACAAAUUACUAAUUAUUGUAUUUUAUUUUUCUAUGAUUUCCUAAGAGGCAUUAUCAGGGUCUUACAGAUGGAGUAAGCCUGUUUAUUAAAAUAUCUAUUGGCAAAUAAAAGUUACAGCUUUGGUGGUUG